rnacentral:rRNA from 1 species
GUGGGGAAUAUUGGACAAUGGGGGGAACCCUGAUCCAGCCAUGCCGCGUGUGUGAAGAAGGCCUUUUGGUUGUAAAGCACUUUAAGCGAGGAGGAGGCUACCGAGAUUAAUACUCUUGGAUAGUGGACGUUACUCGCAGAAUAAGCACCGGCUAACUCUGUGCCAGCAGCCGCGGUAAUACAGAGGGUGCAAGCGUUAAUCGGAUUUACUGGGCGUAAAGCGCGCGUAGGUGGCCAAUUAAGUCAAAUGUGAAAUCCCCGAGCUUAACUUGGGAAUUGCAUUCGAUACUGGUUAGCUAGAGUAUGGGAGAGGAUGGUAGAAGUCCAGGUGUAGCGGUGAAAUGCGUAGAGAUCUGGAGGAAUACCGAUAGCGAAGGCAGCCAUCUGGCCUAAUACUGACACUGAGGUGCGAAAGCAUGGGGAGCAAACAGGAUUAGAUACCCGUGUAGACC